GACGAACGCUGGCGGCGUGCCUAAUACAUGCAAGUAGGACGCAGUUGCGAACGGGUGAGUAACCCGUAGGUAACUGCCUAUCAGAGGGGGAUAACUAUUGGAAACGAUAGCUAAUACCCCAUACUCGUAGAUGGACCUGCGUUGUUUUAGCUAGUAGGAAGGGUAAUGGCCUACCUAGGCAACGAUACAUAGCCGACGUGAGAGGGUGAGCGACGACACUGGGAGUGAGAAGCGGCAGAGGUGUAGAAGGGAGGAAGAAGUAGAGAAUGUUGGACAAUGGGGGGAACCCAGACCGAGCAACACCGCGUGAGUGAAGAGGGUGUACGGAUGGGAGAGCUCGGUUGUUAAGGAAGCGAUACUUAACUAGAAAGGGAGGGCGAACGUAGUGCCAGCAGCCGCGGUAAUAC
rnacentral:rRNA from 1 species